CUGAUUUUACGGAAUUAUUAAUUGAAAAUGUAAAAACGUGUCAUGUAUUAUUUGAUUUAUCCCAUCCAGAUUACAAAAAUGUGCGUAUAAAGAACAAAAUAUGGGACGAAAUCGCAAAGAUUAUAGGAUUAAAACACACAGGGUACGCAGCAAGUGUAAAAAAGUUGUCGACGGAAGGACGGAUAAUGGUCAAAUACAAAGUUGCCAAAAUAAUAUUGGAACAAAAAUUAAGUGAAAUCCGGAUGCAAAGACAAAAGCAACCAAGCAACAGUUCUUCUUUUAAUUCCAUGGAAGUAUCAAAAAACCAAACUCCCCCCCACAGCGUUCAUAUUUGACAAUUAGUUGUACUGCUCAGGAAGUCUCUGAAGAAAGUUCUACAACAACCUGGUAUGAGGAAUUCUGUACGAACAAUAUUGACUACUUAAUUAUUAAGUGUUUUUUAUUACUAUGUAAUCUAGCUGUUGUAAAACACUUUAAUAAAAAAUAAGAAUAAAAUAUAAA